rnacentral:lncRNA from 1 species
AGUAUUCUGGACAGUGAACAUUGGCUUUUAUGUGUCAUUGCUUAUUCUUUAUUUUUAGAUUAUAUUAUUAUAUUGGUGUGAUAUGAAAAUUUUUACUGAACUGUAAAACUCACACCCUUCAUCUUUCUUUUCUUCUCAGAGUUACAAGAUGUCCAUGGUUGGCUAUGGUAUGGAUUUGUGAGUGAGCGGAUGCAUAGAUAGGUACCGUUGAUACCUGAUC